rnacentral:rRNA from 1 species
GACGAACGCUGGCGGCGUGCUUAACACAUGCAAGUCGAACGGAAAGGCCCUGCUUGUUUGGGGUUCUCGAGUGGCGAACGGGUGAGUAACACGUGAGUAACCUGCCCUUGACUUUGGGAUAACUUCAGGAAACUGGGGCUAAUACCGGAUAGGAGCUCCUGCUGCAUGGUGGGGGUUGGAAAGUUUCGGCGGUUGGGGCUGGACUCGCGGCUGAUCAGCUUGUUGGUUGGGUAGUGGCUUACCAAGGCUUUGACGGGUAGCCGGCAUGAGAGGGUGGCCGGCCACAUUGGGACUGAGAGACGGACCAGACUCCUACGGGAGGCAGCAGUGGGGAAUAUUGCACAAUGGGCGGACGCCUGAUGCAGCAACGCCGCGUGCGGGAUGACGGCUUUCGGGUUGUAAACCGCUUUAGCCUGUGACGAAGCGUGAGUGACGGUAAUGGGUAAAGAAGCACCGGCUAACUACGUG